rnacentral:lncRNA from 1 species
GGCUCACACCUGUAAUCCCAGCACUUUGGGAAGCUGAGCCGGGCAGAUCACUUGAGGCCAGGAGUUCAAAACCAACCUAGCCAACAGGGCAAAACCCCAUCUCCUCUAAAAACACAAAAAAUUAGCCAGACGUCAUGGCGGGCACCUGUGGUCCCAGCUACUUGGGAGGCUGAGGCACCAGAAUCACUUGAACCUGGGAAGCAGAGGUUGCAGUGAGCUGAGAUCACACCACUGCACUCCAGCCUGGGUGACAGAGCGAGAUCCCCC